rnacentral:rRNA from 1 species
GACAGAGGGGGCAAGCGUUGCUCGGAAUUACUGGGCGUAAAGGGCGCGUAGGCGGGAUGGCAAGUCGGUCGUGAAAUCCCUCGGCUCAACUGAGGAUCGUCGAUCGAUACUGCCGUUCUUGAGGAUUGCAGAGGAGACUGGAAUUCCCGGUGUAGCGGUGAAAUGUGUAGAGAUGUGGAGGAACACCGAUGGCGAAGGCAGCCCCCUGGGCUAACACUGACGCUCAUGCGCGAAAGCGUGGGGAGCAAACAGG